GAAGAAAACACAUGCACAAAUGCGGGUGUUAGGAAUAUUUUAAGCAUAUAUCUUCAAUAUUAUUCAUCCAGGACUGAACGAAGUCCUGAUGCAGGAAAUGAGUGAGUUUCACAGCUUUCUGAGCCCCUGCUCGACCCAGGAAGCCCAGCUCACCCCUCCUCUCAUCACCAGACACAGCCUGCUAGUGCCUUGACCUUGGACUUCCCAGCCUCCAGAACUCCUAAAUCCUCACGUGAUAGUAUCAGGAGGUCAUGAGAAUGGAGCCUUUAUGAAUGGGAUUAGUGCACUCACACAAGGGGAUGAAGAGAUCAGAGCUCUCUCUCUCUCUCUGCCAUGUGAGGAUACAAGAAGAUGGCCACCUCCAAACCAGUUCCUGAGAUCAGCAGCAUUGGCUGUGACCUACCACUUAGAAGUGGAAGUUCGGGGCACAUGUUUUGACUUUCUUUUUCAUAGUUUGAUGAUUUGAUUCGACAUCAGUACACCCUGUACCCUAUGGCAGGGGUCCCCAAAGGCCAAGGACUGGUCUGGUAUGGUCCGUGGCCUGUUAGAACGUGGGCCACACAGCAGGAGGCGAGAGGUGGAUCGUUGAGGCACCAGCAUAUGACACUCUUAAUUUUGGUUUCCACUGAUAGAUUGGAUUAAAAAAAUGUGGUACAUGGAAUUCUAUGCAACCAUAAAAAG